GCCGGAAUGGCGAAAUCGGUAGACGCAGGGGACUUAAAAUCCUCCGCCCUCACGGGUAUGCGGGUUCGACUCCCGCUUCCGGCA
rnacentral:tRNA from 1 species